rnacentral:lncRNA from 1 species
CUAGAGAACAGAACAAAUCUGGUCAAGAUGGCUAAAGCUUCCCCCAAAUGGCCUUGCUGCACAGCUCUAGUGACCAGGACAGAGGCAGGCAAGCGAUUCUGCUGUCCCCCUGCCCUCAACCCCAUCGUGAAGCAGAAGCACUGAGGGACUGAGCCCCGAGGAGUCUCCACUCUCUUGUUGGCUGAGCUGGGCGUCUACAACUCACCGUCCUACCCUGAGAGACCUAUGACACAGGACUCAGGCAAACAUCCUGCCGUCUGGAGCUGGGGCAUCCCUUGCAGCUGGAAGGCAGGUGUCACUUAGGAGCAAAGGCUUGGUGACAGACUGCCUUAGGCCUGGAUAUCUGGUUAGAAGGUGGGACCCAGGACAUCUCUUAAGCAGUACUUGCCCAGCAAGAACACUGUUUUAUUCAAAAUAGGUAUUUAAGAGGUCUGCAUGGUGGCUCACGCCUCUAAUCCCAGCACUUUAGGAGGCCAAGGCAGGA